UACAGAGGUCUCAAGCGUUGUUCGGAUUCAUUGGGCGUAAAGGGUGCGUAGGUGGCGCUGUAAGUCAGGUGUGAAAUUUCGGAGCUUAACUCCGAAACUGCAUUUGAUACUGCGGUGCUUUGAGGACUGGAGAGGAGACUGGAAUUUACGGUGUAGCAGUGAAAUGCGUAGAGAUCGUAAGGAAGACCAGUGGCGAAGGCGGGUCUCUGGACAGUUCCUGACACUGAGGCACGAAGGCCAGGGGAGCAAACGGG
rnacentral:rRNA from 1 species